AGAGUUUGAUCCUGGCUCAGGAUGAACGCUAGCGGGAGGCCUAACACAUGCAAGCCGAGCGGUAGAGUCUCUUCGGAGACUUGAGAGCGGCGCACGGGUGCGGAACACGUGUGCAACCUGCCUUUAUCUGGGGGAUAGCCUUUAGAAAGGGAGAUUAAUACCCCAUAAUAUACUGGAUGGCAUCAUCUGGUAUUGAAAACUCCGGUGGAUAGAGAUGGGCACGCGCAAGAUUAGAUAGUUGGUGAGGUAACGGCUCACCAAGUCAGCGAUCUUUAGGGGGCCUGAGAGGGUGAUCCCCCGCACUGGUACUGAGACACGGACCAGACUCCUACGGGAGGCAGCAGUGAGGAAUAUUGGACAAUGGGUGAGAGCCUGAUCCAGCCAUCCCGCGUGAAGGACGACGGCCCUAUGGGUUGUAAACUUCUUUUGUAUAGGGAUAAACCUAGAUACGUGUAUCUAGCUGAAGGUACUAUACGAAUAAGCACCGGCUAACUCCGUGCCAGCAGCCGCGGUAAUACGGAGGGUGCAAGCGUCAUCCGGAUUUAUUGGGUUUAAAGGGUCCGUAGGCGGAUUUGUAAGUCAGUGGUGAAAUCUCACAGCUUAACUGUGAAACUGCCAUUGAUACUGCAGGUCUUGAGUGUUGUUGAAG
rnacentral:rRNA from 1 species